ensembl:lncRNA
GGUUAACUACACAACACCAGUCCGUUCCCGUGGAGCAAGGCGAGCUUUCUCUGCUGUCACUGGGAGCGGCGGGACUGCUGCAAUCAUUAUGCAUUGUUAACUGGGCUGUCUAAUAUGCACAGCGAAUGCUGGCGUCCAGUCCUGGAAGCAGGCUGGGUUUCCAAACAGCAGGCAUUUGUGAAAGGGCCUGAAAUCAUUAUCAGUGUCAUCUCAACCGACGGCCUCUCCGUCGGAGUCAGAAGGGGAUGUGGAGGACUUCAUUCUGUCCAAGGAACAGCCCGGCCAGAGCCUUCAGGCUCAGGGAGGAAGGGCGGACAUUUUUAUUUGCGGAUCUUUAAAAAGCUGCUCGUCACAAUAUGUUUUUAAUGGAAAUAAUAAAAGUGUCACGACACAACAACGUCAACUUAGCAGCCAGAAUAGCAGUAUUGAUCUUUGUGUUGAUGAAACAAAAUGCUUUGCCAUUUUAGUUCAUGAUCUACCAAAUGAUGAAAUUUUCACAGUCAAUGUCACAUUCUUAGUUCCAUGGCAGGUCUAGAAAAUGGGGUGAUAAAAUAUCAUAUUUAUUUCAAGCGAUUGACUGAAAAAUCACAGAUUCACAUUGUCUUAAAAGUAUUAAAUGAAAACAAUAAACACC